rnacentral:misc_RNA from 1 species
AAGUCGUAACAAGGUUUCCGUAGGUGAACCUGCGGAAGGAUCAUUAACAUUUGGAAUGGAUUUGGGGUGGAGUGGUUGAGAUUUGAUUUGAUUUCAUAUCAGAUCUUGCCACACCACCUUCCUACCCCACAUUGUGUGCAUUUCUGUAGUAGUAGUAGAGUUGUGGUAUGGAUGAAAGGAAACUUUGAUCUAGCUAUCUCUCUUCUUCUUCUCCUCAUAUCUCAUCUCCUAUCAAAACCCCUACCUUUUACUCAUCUAGUCUGAACUUAACACCUUUUUUCUCACUUACAAUGAGGAAAAAACCAAUCAGCAUACAACUCUUAGCAACGGAUAUCUAGGCUCUC